rnacentral:lncRNA from 1 species
AAUUGGUUCUAAUUAAGGAAAGUAAUUCUUUGCUUAAGGAGUGUGCAACUCAAACUCACGUGUGGAAACCAGGAGAUUAUUCAUUACAUCUAAGAGCAGUGGGAGAGUUUCUACCAUGCACCAGCAGCCACAUGAUCAAGAUGAAUCCCUUAUUUGUCAACUUACCUUACAUGGAUGCAUUCACACUUGGAGUUAUUGAAGACCAACGGCUCUUUCCCCUUCUGUUCAGGCACGACUUAGAGACUAUCCAGACAUCAAAGGAGAUCCCACGGAUGCAUUUAUUUCUGCCCAAACUCACAAGAUACAAGGAGAGAAUACAACUUCCAUACAUGGACAGAUUCUGCACCAACUAAGUCCAACGGCUAGUUUUUCACUUAUUAUUUCUUUCCAAGUUAUUCUUUUAGGCAUUUGUGUUCUUUUCUAUUUAAACAGAGCUAAGUCUCAUUUGUAAAUCACCCUUGCACGA